rnacentral:lncRNA from 13 species
AUACAGACCUGUAACGGGUCUACACAAGGAGUCAGAUCUGGUUCAUAUGGAGGCACACCCCCCUAAUGGACUAUGUAACAUGACGGGCUCUAACAUGCUCAGAGCACAACAGAAACUAUCCCUUCCCUGAAUACAUCGACAUCACCUCACUGCCUGUCCAAGAUGACUAUAUGUUUAUUCAGGUUACUACAGCAGGACAGGCCAGCUACUAGGUGUCCUAUCAGAGGGAUCCAUUCCUCAAAAUCAAACUGCCGAAAUAUUCUCUGCCUAAGGGCGAGCCGUGUGUGAUGGGCCAGAAACAGACCUAUAUGAAAUGCAGACUAGGAAACUAUGCAUGCUGGGAAAAGACUACGCCCAAGUCAGCUUUGCUG